rnacentral:ncRNA from 2 species
GUUCGUCUUCAGGGCAGGGUGUAAUUCCCGACCGGCGGUGAUAGCCCGCGACCUGCUGAAUAAGCAGCUGAAUCUGGUGGAAUCCCAGGUGCCGACAGUAUAGUCUGGUAUAAAGAAGAUUUUC